UUAUUAAGGUUGUCCUCGUCAUUACAACGAGUACUUGUACAUUCUAUUAAACAUUGUUUUAAAAAAAUGGUAUUAGAGUUGUAAAAACUCUAUUAGGUUCACAGGUGUAUAAUGGAUAGAGAAGAAGAGUUUCUUAAGAAACUACAAAUUCAAUAAUGAUCCUUCCGCAGGUUCACCUACGGAAA
rnacentral:misc_RNA from 1 species